rnacentral:rRNA from 1 species
UACGGGGGGGGCAAGCGUUGUUCGGAAUUACUGGGCGUAAAGGGCUCGUAGGCGGCCAACUAAGUCCGACGUGAAAUCCCCAGGCUUAACCUGGGAACUGCGUCGGAUACUGGAUGGCUUGAAUUCGGGAGAGGGAUGCAGAAUUCCAGGUGUAGCGGUGAAAUGCGUAGAUAUCUGGAGGAAUACCGGUGGCGAAGGCGGCAUCCUGGACCGGUAUUGACGCUGAGGCGCGAAAGCCAGGGGAGCAAACGGG